GCUGCUCGAAACUUUGCACACCUCUCCGUGGUGAGCAGCAGGCAACGAUCUUAUGAUCGGCGAAGAUGCAAUG
rnacentral:ribozyme from 1 species